rnacentral:misc_RNA from 1 species
GUGAGUCAUCGAAUCUUUGAACGCACAUUGCGCCCGCCAGUAUUCUGGCGGGCAUGCCUGUUCGAGCGUCAUUUCAACCCUCAGGCCCAGCCUGGCGUUGGGGAUCGGCGCGGCGCCCCCUCACCGGGGCGCUGCCGGCCCCGAAAUAUAGUGGCGGUCUCGCUGUAGUCCUCCUCUGCGUAGUAGCUAACACCUCGCACUGGAACGCGGCGCGGCCAUGCCGUAAAACACCCCACUUCUGAAAGUUGACCUCGGAUCAGGUAGGAAUACCCGCUGAACUUAAGCAUAUCAAUAAGCGGAGGA